rnacentral:rRNA from 1 species
GACAGAGGGUGCAAACGUUGUUCGGAAUUACUGGGCGUAAAGCGUGCGCAGGCGGCCUUGCAAGUCGGGCGUGAAAUCCCACGGCUCAACCGUGGAAGUGCACUCGAAACUGCUUGGCUAGAGUCUUGGAGAGGAAGGCGGAAUGCUUGGUGUAGAGGUGAAAUUCGUAGAUAUCAAGAGGAACACCUGCGGCGAAGGCGGUUGCUGGGCCGACACUGACGCUGAGGCGCGAAAGCCAGGGGAGCGAACG